rnacentral:misc_RNA from 1 species
CCAAUAGCGUAUAUUAAAGUUGUUGCAGUUAAAAAGCUCGUAGUUGAAUUUCGGGAUCAGUAGGUCGGUCGUGCCACUGGUAUGAACUGGUCUCACUGGUUCCUCCCUCUUGACGAACUGCAAUGCUAUUAAUUUAGUGUUGUAGGAAAUCAGGACUGUUACUUUGAAAAAAUUAGAGUGUUUAAAGCAGGCUUUGGCUUGAAUACAUUAGCAUGGAAUAAUGAAAUAGGACGUUCGAUCCUAUUUUGUUGGCUUCUAGGAUUGACGUAAUGAUUAAUAGGGACAGUUGGGGGCAUUAGUAUUCAAUUGUCAGAGGUGAAAUUCUUGGAUUUAUUUAAGACUAACUACUGCGAAAGCAUUUGCCAAGGAUGUUUUCAUUAAUCAAGAACGAAAGUUAGGGGAUCGAAGACGAUCAGAUACCGUCGUAGUCUUAACCAUAAACUAUGCCGACUAGGGAUCGGAUGAUGUUAAUUUUUUAAUGACUCAUUCGGCGCCUUACG